UAUAUGCAUAAAUAUGCAUGUAUACAUAUUCUGAUAAAAUACACACUUUUUUACACCUUGACUUUUAGAUAUUGUCCUCUGUUAUUCAACCUCUCCUUAUGUAAUGUGUCUACAAAGACUAACACCAUAAAGGUGAGAUGGGGAAAUGCAGGUAGUAAUAAUGAAUUAUGCUUAUGAGAAAUUUGAUCAUAAAGGGUAACAAGACUGAAACGGAUAGUGAGAGUCUUAGGGUCUAGGAAAGAUUUAUUUUUAAAGGACAUUAAAAUAUAAUGAUGGAACUAAUAAAAUAUAUAGUUAUCGGUACAUUACAUUUUAUUUUAGUAGUUAUUUCACUUUUGUCCAUAAAUAUAGAUGGAUACUUGAUUAUAAAAUGGCAUGCCAAAAAUAUAUAUGAUAUUUUCCCAAUGAGCAAAAAUGUAAGAAAAACAAAAAAAGCACAUACCAAUUCAUUGAAGCUGAUCAUUAGAACAUGCUCAAAUUCUUUACCUUCUUUACCUUUAAUAUCACAAUCAGAUGAAGUUACUGGUAACAGAGCAAGGAUCAAGGGAGGAAUUCCAAAGAUAUACCUAAAAGAAACUAAAUUCAACAGUAAAUAAGAAUGAGCUAAAUGUUAUGUCAUGUUAUAUUUGAUCGUGGUUUUACAAUGGGCUUGACCACUUAUUUUUAAUAAUUUUAAAUAUGUAUCUCAGUUCCUGAAUAAUGGGGGAAGAACUCUAUACACUGAAAUUAUAUAGCAACCAAACUAGAACUACAUUUUGAAAUUUAGGUUUCAUUCUUUUUUUUUUUUUUUUUUUUUUGUAGCAUGCAUUGAACUCAGGGGCACUCAAUCACCAAGACACAUCGCCAGCCCUAUUUUGUAUUUUAUUUGGAGGCAGGGUUUCUCUGAGUUGCUUAGUGCCUCGCUUUGGCUGAGACUAGCUUUGAACUUGAGGUCCUCCCGCCUCAGCCUCCAAACCAUUGGGAUUACAGGCGUGUGCCACCACACCGGGCUUCAUUCACUUUGUUAACAUAGAAAUUUCUGUUAGGAAGUGUAGAACAGUGUGAUGAGAUCAAAGAACACUUCUGAAAGACACUUUAGGGGUAAUGAUGACUUAGUAAAUGUGCAUUUAUGUUGAACAUCCUUGUAAGAGAAGGUAUCUGCAGGCAAAGAGGUAUGCUACAGUUUUAAAAAGUUACACAAUAUUGAAAUUUUAUGAUGUAUGGCAUGUGAUUGUUUAUGUGAAAACUUGAACAUGGUACACUUAAAGGAAUAUUCAUUGACUUCUCCCUGGAGGGCAGCACUGUGGGAGGUUCAUCUCCACAACACUACACUGUGAUCCUGUUCUUUCUUUUUAGUGAUGGAACUUAAAGGGUUUCCCUGCCCCCAAUUCUUACAGAAUUACACUUGUAUUUUGAUACUCCCUUUUCUUCUUUUCAUUAUUUUCUGAAUUUAUGGACUCAGAGAUCCACAUUUUAUUCAAACACAUCUUUUCUCAAAUUCUUGCCAUGUUAGAAAACCUAAAAAAUAAAUUUACACCCUGUGAAUUCAUUAUGUCUGUCUGUUUUAGAUAAGUCUUCCCCAUUAGAAGCAGCUAUACAAUAAAAAGAAAUGAAAUUUUUAAUGGUGUGAUUUGGGGCUGUAAAAAUACACAAACUGGAAAUUCAGUGAUUCCCAGAAACAUUAAAUUUGAUCUAUUUCUUCACCAGCCUGCCAUAGUGUCUUGUUUGCAUUGUUCCAUGAACUCUGAGUUAUGUUGAGUUUUUGAGAGUUUCACAAAAGAACUUUAAUUGUGCUUGUUCAGUGCAUGGCAUUUCCACGUGUACCUUCCUUAAUUAAGAGUUCAAUUAACCUUCCUUCCACUCAACGAACUAAUAUUGUGACAACUGCCUAAAAACUGUUAAGGAUAUCAUAAAAUUUCCAAUAACUGUAUUAUGUUAUCAUCUGUCUUAAAAAAUCAGUAACUCUCCCUAAUAAAUUAUGCUUUUAGUGACUGAUAUUUUUACAAAUACAGAAAGUAGACUAGGCAAAAGUUAAGGAAUACGCGUAAAUCAUACGUCUUAUCUUCAUGUGACAUAAAGAAAUAUAAAGAAAUAUAAUGCAAGAGUGAGACACAAAAUCUGUUCAUAGAUCUAAUACUAACUACCUGUAUGCACUGUAACUAAGAAUACAUUUAGGAGACAAGUGAUUAUGAUCCUAGUUACUUUUAAUCAAAUAUCUACCAGAUGCUGGUUGCUGGUGCCAGGGACUGUUAGGAGUAUUUAUAUAUAUUCCUGCAAGUAGCACAGAGGUAGUAGGUGUCAAGUUUGGACAUUCACCUAAGUUUACUGUCUUACCAGAAUUUGAUCAAAAAAAGCCCUAAUAUUUUGAUAACAUGUAAUUUCAGUGGCCUUCUGCAUAAAAACUGCUUCCAUGUGAUAAUAUUCAGUUCCACCUUUCUCUUCUUCUAUCAUUUCUUCCUCCUGAAGAUCUUCAAACAGUAAUUAAUUGCUCAUUAAUUACUGGCAAUUAAUCUGACCUGGUAUUGGAUAUGUACAGUUCGUAGAGAAACAUACUUUUAAUUUCUCUUUUCAUUUCCAGGUAUCCUAAAGUUAUACUUUUGGAGAAAUAGACAAAGAAGGAAAAAUUAUAAGGCACAUAAUUUAGAAUGAACUUUAAGGAGACUAUAGUAAAAUAAUUAAAUGCUAGAGUGAAAAUGAGAUAUGUUUAUCAUUAUACUUAAAUGUUACUUCAGAGGCCAAUAUUUUAUAUAUUAAAAAUGAGGUGUUUUAUUUUCCAUAAGCACCGUCUUCUUCACCCCAAUUUUCAGUUAUAACUACUCCCAAAACUCAUAUCAACCUACUAUUUCAUUGGAUGGCAUUUUAUCAAUUCUUUCCAAUGGUGGUUGGAUGGAAAGUUCAGUCUUUGGGAUGCUACAACUAAUUUCUCAAUGCUAAAACAUAAUUUAUCUUGCCUGUAAAGAGUCUUCUGUUACCAUAGUUGUUGUGGAAAAGCUAGCCCCACACACUAGGACAAUAUAAAGCAUGAGGCUUUGGAAACACAGAGACCUGGGACUUCUGUCCUCAUAGGAUAGUGGGUUGUGUUACUGAGUGAAUGGCUUCAUCUACCUGAUUUUUAAAUGAAAACAUUAGACUAAAUGAUCUCUUAAAUCUUUUUCAGCUCUUAAGCCCCUUCAUUCUGUCUUACCUGGCCAUUCAAAUAGAGAAACUCUUCAGGUUUAAAAUUGUUUUCAGGACAAUUCUGCAAAACUAUCCCAGGCCUGAGACCCACAUCUCAAUGAUUCUCAGCUCUCUCAAGAUCUGGUUUGUUUUACAACGGAAAUCUUUUCUUCCAUAUUACAUACUUAAGUGAUAUAUGAAGAUUGUUUGGCUUGAGGGGACUUUGAACAGUGUCACAAUGGGAAAGAGACUCAGCUUUAUUUUAUUUUGUUUGCAUUUGUUUCAUACUAUAUAGGCCUCUGCCCUUCCCCCUCCCCCUGAACUUUUCAUUGGAUUACAGAAAAGACAAACCCUAAGGAACAAUGCAAGGCAAGUGUGGGCUUGUGGAAUUGUCUUUAAAUCUCCUGAAGGGACUGAAAUUGGAGAAUUUGUUUUCAGUAGGGAAUUUGGUUAAACAGAAUGAUAGCGGUUUAAGAAUUCUUGUUGGUUUUUAAUUUAAGCCAAAUAAUACAUUCAAUUCUUAGCUGCUCAAGUUAUGGGGUCAAAGUGAAGAUAAAUAAAUUGUUUCUACAGCCCUCCAAAUCCAGUCUUUUAUCAGAAUUCAAGAACAAUAGUGUUUAUUGAAUGCCUAUUACACAAACCUCUUUUCACUGGGAAUAUAAUUCCAAAAUCAUUUCAUGAAGUACUUAGAAAUUAUUUACAUUUUUCUGGGUGCAGUGGCACAGGCCUGUAAUUCAGAAGCUUGGGAGGCUGAGGCAGGAGGAUCACAAUUUCAAAGCCAGCCUCAGCAAAAGUAAGAUGCUAAGCAACUCAGUGAGAUCCUGUCUCUGAACAAAAUACAAAAUAGGGCUGGGAUAUGGCUCAAUGGUCUAGAGCCUCUGAGUUCAAUUCUUGGUCCAACCCUCCCAGAAAAAGAAAUCAUUUACAUUUUACAGGUGUAGAAUCUAGGGCCCAUAGAACGUUUUUCCAAUAUAGAAUGUGCCUAGGAAGAGCCAAGAUUCAAAUCUGUUUUGUUCAGGUUAAGGAAUCUAGAAACUCAGCUUUUAGCUACUGUGGUACCCCACUUCCUAUAAAAAUGUAUACGUGGGUUUAAGAGGAAGGCAAAAGAACUCAUUUCCUUUUCUGCAAAAACUUCACCAAGGUAAUUUCUGGCCAAGCUCAGAAACUGUAUCAUAUACCCUUAUUUCAAAAAAAAACACUAAAUAUUUGCUUUUAUUUGAGUAGGUAAUGUGAGUGAGACUAGGAGAAAAAAAGAUCUCAACACAUAAAUAUGAUUAGACAUCUGAGUUGGUCCUACAAAAUAAUCUUUUCUAUUUUUAAGUUAUUUAAACACUGAUAUGGUGCAAUUUGUAAAUUCUCUUUGUACCUAUUCUAAUCAUUUUGGUUUUCUGCUUUUAUUACUAUUCCAUUGUUUUCAGUCCUCAAAUAUGAAGAAUUCACCCAAAUCCAAUUGCAUAGUUGAGGAUCACAUAGUGAGUCAUCAUCUACUUAGAAACUGAGCUGUUUCCAUGUUUUCUUUGCAAUGCCCUUGGUUCUAAUGCAAUUACUUCUUUCUGGUUCUCCUCCUCAUUCUAACACAUCUUGGGGGGUUUCUUAUUUUUUUUUCUUGGUACUGAGGUUUGAACCCAGGAUUGCUUCACCAUUGAGCUACAUCUCCAGUCCUUUUUAUUUUUAUUUUUUUGAGACAGGGCCUCCUUAAGUUGCUUAGGAUGGCCUUGAACAUGCAGUCCUCCUGCUUCAGCCUUUCAAAUGGCUGGAAUCACAGGUGGGCAUCACCACACUGGGCUUAUCUACUUCACCUCUCAAAAGAAAGAGCAAAGAAAGAGAUGUAAACGGUAUUCCUAUGUACAGUCUUGGAGUUUGAACUUCUCAUAAAAUCACUUGGAACCAAGAUGUAGAAAACCACUCAAUAUAAUAAUUACAUUAUAACACAUUAGAAGUUUAGAAUUUUAAUAUUUUGUUUGCUAUUAGUAGUUUAUGAUGCAUUAAUAUAGAUGUACAUCCAAAAAUAAAGUUUCCUUACUAAAAGUAUACACCCUGAGUUUCUUUUGUCUUUUUAUGUCUCUACUUUUGAUAAGAGGUAAUUCAAGGAUUAGAAUCAGGAGAGAACCAGAAAGAAGUAAUUGCAGGUGAAACCAAGGGCAUUGCAUAGAAAACACAGAUACAGCUCCAUUUCUAAUUCUACAUUUAAACUUCUGGAGCACUUUUCUAACAGAUCCAUAAUUGUCUUUGAUAUUAUUUCAUGCUCCUCCUCCCCCCCCCUUUUUUUUGUUACUGAGCUAUUUCCCCUAGUUAUGUCAAUUCUAGGUGUUUUAAUAUCUAUGAGAUGGGAAAUGAAUCUUGAUCUAACAGAAUAGUCACGGAAGUACACAGAGCAUCAAAAGGAAGAGCAGAAAGCUGGCUCCCUAUUCUUCCACCUUCUCCCACAGGUCUUCUAGCUUAAUGAAGUGCUUAUAGUAAAACAUGCCAAUUUCCCUAAGUAGAUCCUCUCCCCUCACAUACCUUUCUCCUCUGUUUAAUUCCAGUAUUUUUAAUUUAUUUAUGUUAGCCCCUUACAUUAGCCACAUGGCUGCCAAAUGGGAUCCAACCCACGUUAAUUCUGUCCUUCUCCGUUUUAAGUCCUUUUUCGGCGGAAAUAAAAUCUAGCAGAUAUCAUCAGGGGUUUACAAUUUAGAAGGAAAUCUAUUUAAUCCUGCCUCCAUCAAGGAUCGAGCAUAUAGGACAAAGCAACAUCUGGCUAUUUUCAAUGCAAAUUGCAGGACAUGAGUUCCCAGCAAACAGCGCAGGGUACAGCCCCAGAUGGAAACUCCCAGCCCCACUGAGGGGGAAAAACGGGGUUUUACGGAGACCUGUCCCUUAGGGCUUAAAAGCGCGUCCCCAGGGAGCUUCGCUUUCAGUUCUCUAGGAAGUUCGGAGCUGCAAGAACCCAGCUACUCACUCGCUGAACCUAGGCUGCCUGUGGGACCUUAAGGAAAAACAAUUCUGCGGCCCCACCUAAUCGGGUUGUUUUCGAUCACAUCCUCUAUGACUGUGGCAAUCAAUAUGAGUCAGAGUUCAUACAAUCCCUCUUAUCCUCCUCAUCACCGUCAUCAUCAUCACUAUCAUCAGGAUGAAAUCAUGACUACUAUAUCUUAAAAAAUCAAGACUUCCAUAUUCUAUAGAAAAUUUCAAUGUAAAUAAUAGCUUUUUAUUUGUUAGUUUAUUUUUUUGGAUUACUAAUAUAAAAACCAUAUUUUAUUCAGCCACCAGAGGGAGCUCCCAAAUCUAUGGAUUCUAAAAGAAAAUAAGGCUGAAAUACAUUUGGAAAAGUUAUAUUAUGGUUGACAAUCAAACAUUCAAUCAGCUGAAACUCAUGGUGUUAUUGGCUCAUCUGACAGGUCUUCUGUACAUUGAGUGCCUAAAAUCCUGCCCUUCUAUAUUGCCACAUUAUUUUAAUGCAGUUCUUAAAUAAUAGUCUUCUUCUUCUUCUUCUUCUUCUUCUUCUUCUUCUUCUUCUUCUUCUUCUUCUUCUUCUUCUUCUUCUUCUUUUUUUAGUUUUGGAUAGUAUUGACUAACUUCCUUGUUUUGAAUGUAUAAUUAUAUGUUAUAUGUCUCCUACUACUUCUCUUUUUGGUCCCAAAUUUUCUUAAAUUGUACCUUUACAUUGUCAAACUUACAGUACUUUACCGUAAAUUUAGUGCUUACUGUGUAUCACGCCUUCUCCUUCCUUAUUCCUUUGUUUGGAUUCUUACUGACUAGAUUUCAUUGUCAAAUUUUAUUUUUUAUUUAUUUUUAUUUAUUUACUUAUUUAUUUAUUUACCAGGGGUUGAACCCAGGUGCACUUGACCACUGAGCCACGUCCUCAGCCCUUCCUACUUUAGUUUUUUUUUUUUUUUUAUUUUGAGACAGGGCCUCCUUAAGUUGCUAAGGUUGGCCUUGAAGCUGCUGGGAUUCCAGGUGUGUGCCACCACAUCCAGCUAAUAGCUAAUUAUUAUUAUUAUUAUUAUUAUUACUAUUAUUGUUUUUUAGUUUGUUUUUUUAAAGAAACGUUGUGAUCUGGAAUCCUUGACGUUUUCACUUUUGGGGAUGACUGCUUGUUGCCUCACCUCUGUUUGACAAUGAAGCUAGUUAUGAUAUUGUCAGGUCAUGUUUCCUCUCCCUCAUUUAUGAUUUGAUUUUAUUCCAAGAAGAAUGGGGUGUUUCAAUUUUUUUUUUCUACAAAUACUAUGUGGGUGUGGGAUGGGGAAGGAAAUUAUCCAACUAUUUCCUGAAGGCAGAGCAAGUUCCUACAGACCUGACUCUCCCAUUACGAUGGGUCCUGGAUCUCCCAGAACAAGCCUCCUUUCGGAUGCCAAGCAUCUUAAAAGUGAGCCUCUCAGCUACAUUUCCUUGGAGCUUGCCAGGACUUUCCUCUCCUAGCUUCAUUGAAAUAUAAUUGGUAUAUUAAAAAAGAUGCACAUUUUAUAAUUCGGGCAUAUGCAUACAUCUGUGACACUAUCACCACAAUCAAGGAAAUACACAUAUCCAUCAUCUCUGAAAGUUUACUAGACCCCCAGCACCCCUCCCCACCAGAUACACACACGUGUGUGUAUGUGUGUGUGUGUGUGUGUUUGUGAGUGUGAAGAAUGCUUAUCUUAGUGGGACAAUUCCUGGGAGGGACAGUGCCUAAAAGAAUUUUGCGUUUACUUAUUGCCUUUGUACUCUACUUUAAAGUGUCCCAAAGUUUUCUCACACAGACAUGUAAUAAACCCCAUUUUGUAGCUGUGGAAAUUGAUGAGCACAGAGGUUAAGCAAAGUACCCAAGGCCAUGGUGCAGAUGAGUGAGAGAACUGGGAGAGGAUCCAGGACUCUGAACUGCUGGGUUGACAUACCAUCUUCCACGGCUUCACAGUGCUGUGAUCUGGCCUACUUCUACCCAUCACACUCAGUCAGAAUCAGCUAUUCUAAUUCCCAUUUUUUAUUUGAAAUCAAUGGUAUUUCACCACAGUUACUAGAAUAUUGUCUCAACAGAAAACUGAAUUAUAAAUAAUGAAUAGAGGUGAAAUAGAUUCCUUUAAAGUCAGUGUUGAUCUAUUCAUUCUUCUUCACUUUCUUUAACCUCUUAUUUUCUCCAGGCUACUUAUAAACAUAUCCAGGUUGCUAACAAGAAGUUUUAAUAAAGAUACUGCCUGAAUAUCAAUAUUUUGGACAAAUAAAAAAGAUAUUCUAUUUGAUGUUGGUAUAAAUGUAUUUUAACAAGAUAUUUAUUUCUCUGUUGAUAAUUAAAAAGCUAUUUAUAAAUAAAGUAAAUAAAUAAAAUCAUCA